UUAGAAGCCGAAAGGCUGCUUAAAACCAUUGCGAACCUAUCCAUUAGCGUUGCUUCGGCGGGAGAAGGCCUGGGCGCCGGCGCGAGCCAGCCCUGGGCUGGGGCACUCUUUACCUCUCCAGAGGUCUUGGGUUACCGCCCGCCGGAGGUACGAAACCAUGCUGUAUCUAUGUGGCAUCUCUGAGUAUACAAGUAAAUAAGUUA
rnacentral:misc_RNA from 1 species